rnacentral:rRNA from 1 species
UACGGAGGGGGCUAGCGUUGUUCGGAAUUACUGGGCGUAAAGCGCACGUAGGCGGCUUUGUAAGUUAGAGGUGAAAGCCCAGGGCUUAACCCUGGAAUUGCCUUUAAGACUGCAUCGCUAGAAUCGUGGAGAGGUGAGUGGAAUUCCGAGUGUAGAGGUGAAAUUCGUAGAUAUUCGGAAGAACACCGGUGGCGAAGGCGACUCACUGGACACGUAUUGACGCUGAGGUGCGAAAGCGUGGGGAGCAAACAGG